rnacentral:lncRNA from 1 species
AUGAAGCUGAUUUUAAGAGAGAAGGUUGGUAAGAAGAUAAAAAUAAGAAAUGUUCAGAAUGCACUGGGAUGGGGCAGGUGAGUUUCUUGGGGUGUUGAUGUAGUGGGCAAGUGCAAAGCAGAAUUCACAGUUGUGUGUUCCUCUUUGGAAACAGGACCACAAUAGAUGGGCAUGAAUAUUAGCUGUCAAGGCAAGACAGGAGCUCUAGAUUCUCACCCAAGUAACAAAAAGA